rnacentral:lncRNA from 1 species
AAGGCCUGUCCGCCAGUCCGUCUCUAGUGCCUUUCAUUCAACAUUAGAGGAGUACAAAAUGUAAACCGGACCGCGAGAGAACUAAAGUUACAGAAUAGUCCUUAAAAUUUACAAAAAGGACCCUAAAACAUAAAAUGGAAAAGCAAUCAGGUCCUUCUUCUUCACUGCAGAGGUCUGCUCGCCCAACCGUCCAGCUCGAUGCCCACCGCGCCACUCUAUCGUGCUCAGCUUGCCGCGCCGCCGCCCUGUCCUGCUCGUCGCGCCGCCGUGUGGACCCGCUCAGCUGCGCGGCUCCGUCCCAGCCACGCUCGGGAGGCAUGCAAGGGAGUCGGGGAUGGGCGGUGCUCGCCAGGCGGAGUCCUCGGCUGCUAUCGCGGCGGAGCUCGCGAGUUGGGCACGGGACCUCAAGGCCAGGGCUGGUGCCGGGGGUGGAGGCCGGCGGAGGCCUGCGGGGGUGACGGGGCCGGGGCCGCCGGUGGCCAGCGGGGGCGACGGGGCGUGGAGGCUGCCGGGGGCGACGAGCGACGGGGCUUGGAGGCCGGCGGAGGCCUGCGGGGGUGACGGGGCCGGGGCCACCGGGGACGACGAGCGACGGGGCUCAGAGGCCGGCGGGCGAGACGAUGGCCAGCGUUGCCCGGGCCGGCCGGCGAGAUGGCGGCCAGCGAGGUGGAGGUGGGCGCCGGCAGGCCUACGGUGGCGACGGGGGAAGUGGCCGCGGCCACCAGGCAAAGUGGUUGCCGGCGAGGCAGGGAACGGGGGGUGAGCUGUUGGCCGGAGCCGGUGGUCGAGGUGGUGCGGGCGCCGGUCGGUUUGCUCGAUGGACCGAGAGGGAGAGAAACGAGAGGGAGAGAGAAACGUGCGGUGGGGAUGGGGAUAAGGUAGACAGGACGUGGGGCGCGUGGGUGCUACCUGGGGGCGUGUGCAUCGUGGGUGGGUGGUGUGUGGACGGCCUGGUGGGUGGGAUGUGUGUCUACGAUGUUGCCAAGUCAUCGAUCCAUGUGAUCGAUACAUGUGAUGUGCUUUCUCUUUGCCGUCUGCAACAAAAAAUACAGACGGCAUAGAGCUCACUUUGCCGUCUGCAAAACAAAACACAGACGGAAAAUAAUCUUUGCCGUCUACGGAAAAAAUAUAGACAGCAAAGAAUCUUUGCCGUCUGUGAUUUUUGUUGCAGACGGCAAAGUGAGCUCUUUGCCGUCUGUGAUUUUUCUCGCAGAUGGCAAAGUUUAUUUUCCCGUCAGUUUUUCUUUGUCGUCUGGUGAUGCCAGCAAACCCUUUCUUUGCCGUCUGCCUGACGAAAAGCUGACGACAAAUUAUCUGUUUCCCGUAGUGGGAGUGACAGAGGUCUAUGGAAAAUGUGACUUAAGUCCGCAUGCUGCUGUGCCUGUACCAGAGUGAUGUCUUUAUUGAGCAAAAGAGUGUAGUUUAGGGAACAAUGUGAUUAGAGGGCUAUUCAUCCACUUAUCUAUCCUGAGCAUUAUUGUAUCUCCUCUACCAGCUUUGCACUUUGUAUGCUCUUUGAAUGUGGGCAACAGUUUCAUUACAGAUUUCCACCAGAAUGAACCAAUAAAUCUAUCUCCUGGUAAACUCUCCUAGUAAUAUGUCUCCCAAAUAAUAUUAACCCAUGGAAUGUCUUCUCUAUUGAAGAAUUUGUGCAGAAAUUUCAUGAGCAGGGCUUGAUUAUGAACCUGAAGAUCUAAAACUCCCAAGCCACCAUGGGAUUUAGGUAGACAAACUUUAUUCCAGGAGAUCAGUACCAUGCCUCUGUCAUGAGUUACACAUUUCCUCCAAAAGCAGUUCAUCAGGUAGGAGUUAAUUUGUUUAAGCACAGUCUUUGGGAUCAUGAGAGUACACAUGAAAAAGGUUGGCAUGCUUGUAAAGACUGACUUGAGUAGUGUGAGCUUAUCUCUAGUAGAUAACAUUGUGGAGCAGCUAAGCAAUAUGUUUUCUGUUCUCUUCAACAUUGGCAUAUAGUCUUCAACUUUUGGUUUGGUAGAGCCCAGGGGAAGUCCCAAGUAAGUGUGAGGCCAACAUCCAAUUUUACACUCAAGCAGAGUACAUAGUUCCAGCAUUUUCUCUUGAGGAGUAUUAAUAGAAAUAAUUGUGUAUUUUGAGUAAUUGAUUUGCAGACCAGAGAAUUCAGCAUAGUGAAAGAGCAUAUUUUUGAUAUGUUGAACUUGUCUGUGGUCAGCCUGGGCCACAAGCACAGUAUCAUCAGCAUAUUGAAUAAUGGGGAAAUCAGAAGAAGAGUUGUGUUGCAGAGGUGGAUGCACCAUGGCAUUUCUCACGACUUCAUUAAGCAUGCUUUAUGAUACGUCUCCAACGUAUCUAUAAUUUUUGAUUGUUCCAUGCUAUUAUAUUAUCAACCUUGGAUGUUUUAUAUGCAUUUAUAUGAUAUUUUAUAUGAUUUUUGGGACUAACCUAUUAACCUAGAGCCUAGUGCAAUUUCUGUUUUUUCCUUGUUUUAGAGUAUAUCGCAGAAAAGGAAAAUCAAACGGAGUCCAAUUGACCUGAAACUUCACGGAACUUAUUUUUGGAACGGGAGCAAUCCAGGAGACUUGGAGUAGACGUCAGGGAAGCUUCGAGGGAGGCACGAGGCAGGGAGGCGUGCCCUACCCCCCUGGGCGCUCCCACCACCCUGGUGGGCCCCUCGUGGAUCCCCUGACCGACUUCUUUCGCCUAUAUAUGUCCAUAUACCCUAAAAACAUCGUGGAGCAGAAUAGAUCGGGAGUUCCGCCUCCAGAAGCUCCGUAGCCACCGAAAACCAAUCUAGACCCGUUCCGGCACCCUACCAGAGGGGGAAUCCCUUUUCGGUGGCCAUCUUCAUCAUCCCGGCGCUCUCCAUGACGAGGAGGGAGUAGUUCACCCUCGGGGCUGAGGGUAUGUACCAGUAGCUAUGUGUUUGAUCUCUCUCUCUCUCUCUCUCUCUCUCUCGUGUUCUUGAGGUGGCACGAUCUUGAUGUAUCACGAGCUUUGCUAUUAUAGUUGGAUCUUAUGAUGUUUGCCGUCAGAAAGCAGACGGCAAAGUCAGACGGCAAAGAUUAAUCGGCAAAGAAUACUUUGCCGUCAGCUUUUUAUCUGACAGACGGCAAAUUCUUUGCCGUCAGCCGAAACUUCUUUGCCGUCUGCCUUAUAAAUCACAAACGGCAAAGAAAAGUGGUUUUGCCGUCAGCUAGACUACAUCUUUGCCAUGAGCUAUUUGUGUCUUUGCCUUCAACCUCGUAUAUCACAGACCGCAAAGAAUGGGUAAAAUUAAAAAAAAUACAGCAGGGUUGCUCCCAAGGGAUGCUGUCAACGCAUGCAAGUGCACCUUAUCUAAUCUUUCUUCAUCUUUUUAAGAGGGAAAGGCCUGUCCGUCAGUCCGUCUCUAGUGCCUUUCAUUCAACAUUAGAGGAGUACAAAAUGUAAACCGGACCGCGAGAGAACUAAAGUUAUAGAAUAGUCCUUAAAAUUUACAAAAAGGACGCUAAAACAUAAAAUGGAAAAGCAAUCAGGUCCUUCUUCGUCGCUGCAGAGGUCUGCUCGCCCAACCAUCCAGCCGGAUGCCCACCGCGCCACUCUAUCGUGCUCAGCUUGCCGCGCCGCCGCCCUGUCCUGCUCGUCGCGCCGCCGUCUGGACCCGCUCAGCUGCGCGGCUCUGCCCCAGCCGCGCUUGGGAGGCAUGGAAGGGAGUCGGGGAUGGGCAGUGCUCGCCAGGCGGAGUCCCCGGCUGCUGUCGCGGCAGAGCUCGCGAGUCAGGCACGGGACCUCAAGGCCAGGGCUGGUACCGAGAUGGCGGCCAGCGAGGUGGAGGUGGGCGCCGGCAGGCCUACGGUGGCGACGGGGGAAGUGGCCGCGGCCGCCAGGCAAAGUGGUUGCCGGCGAGGCAGGGAACAGGGGGCGAGCUGUUGGCCGGGGCCGGUGGUCGAGGUGGUGCGGGCGCCGGUCGGUUUGCUCGAUGGACCGAGAGGGAGAGAAACGAGAGGGAGAGAGAGACGUGCGGUGGGGAUGGGGAUAAGGUAGACAGGACGUGGGGCGCGUGGGUGCUACCUGGGGGCGUGUGCAUCGUGGGUGGGUGGUGUGUGGACGGCCUGGUGGGUGGGAUGUGCGUCUAUGAUGUUGCCAAGUCAUCGAUCCAUGUGAUCGAUACCUGUGAUGUGCUUUCUCUUUGCCGUCUGCAACAAAAAAUACAGACGGCAUAGAGCUCACUUUGCCGUCUGCAAAACAAAACACAGAUGGCAAAUAAUCUUUGCCAUCUGCGGAAAAAGUAUAGACAGCAAAGAAUCUUUGCCGUCUGUGAUUUUUGUUGCAUACGGCAAAGUGAGCUCUUUGCCGUCUGUGAUUUUUCUCGCAGAUGGCAAAGUUUAUUUUCCCGUCAGUUUUUCUUUGCUGUCUGGUGAUGCCAUCAAACCCUUUCUUUGCCGUCUGCCCGACGAAAAGCUGACGGCAAAUUAUCUGUUUCCCGUAGUGGGAGUGACAGAGGUCUAUGGAAAAUGUGACUUAAGUCCGCAUGCUGCUGUGCCUAUACCAGAGUGAUGUCUUUAUUGAGCAAAAGAGUGUAGUUUAGGGAACAAUGUGAUUAGAGGGCUAUUCAUCCACUUAUCUAUCCAGAGCAUUAUAGUAUAUCCUCUACCAGCUUUGCACUUUGUAUGCCCUUUGAAUGUGGGCAACAGUUUCAUUACAGAUUUCCACCAGAAUGAACCAAUAAAUCUAUCUCCUGGUAAACUCUCCUAGUAAUAUGUCUCCCAAAUAAUAUUAACCCAUGGAAUGUCUUCUCUAUUGAAGAAUUUGUGCAGAAAUUUCAUGAGCAGGGCUUGAUUAUGAACCUGAAGAUCUAAAACUCCCAAGCCACCAUGGGAUUUAGGUAGACAAACUUUAUUCUAGGAGAUCAGUACCAUGCCUCUGUCAUGAGUUACAUAUUUCCUCCAAAAGCAGUUCAUCAGGUAGGAGUUAAUUUGUUUAAGCACAGUCUUUGGGAUCAUGAGAGUGCACAUGAAAAAGGUUGGCAUGCUUGUAAAGACUGGCUUGAGCAGUGUGAGCUUAUCUCUAGUAGAUAACAUUGUGGAGCAGCUAAGCAAUAUGUUUUCAUUUCUCUUCAACGUUGGCAUACAGUCUUCAAGUUUUGGUUUGGUAGAGCCCAGUGGAAGUCCCAAGUAAGUGUCAGGCCAACAUCCAAUUUUACACCCAAGCAGAGUACAUAGUUCCAGCAUUUUCUCUUGAGGAGUAUUAAUAGAAAUAAUUGUGUAUUUUGAGUAAUUGAUUUGCAGACCAGAGAAUUCAGCAUAGUGCAAGAGCAGAUUUUUGAUAUGUUGAACUUGUCUGUGGUCAGCCUGGGCCACAAGCACAGUAUCAUCAGCAUAUUGAAUAAUGGGGAAAUCAGAAGAAGAGUUGUGUUGCAGAGGUGGACGCACCAUGGCAUUUCUCAUGGCUCCAUUAAGCAUGCUUUGUGAUACGUCUCCAACGUAUCUAUAAUUUUUGGUUGUUCCAUGCUAUUAUAUUAUCAACCUUGGAUGUUUUAUAUGCAAUUAUAUGAUAUUUUAUGUGAUUUUUGGGACUAACCUAUUAACCUAGAGCCUAGUGCCAGUUUCUGUUUUUUCCUUGUUUUGGAGUAUCGCAGAAAAGGAAAAUCAAAUGGAGUCUAAUUGACCUGAAACUUCACAGAACUUAUUUUUGGAAUGGGAGCAAUCCAGGAGACUUGGAGUAGACAUCAGGGAAGCUUCGAGGGAGGCACGAGCCAGGGAGGCGUGCCCUACCCCCCGGGCGCUCCCCCCACCCUGGUGGGCCCCUCGUGGAUCCCCUGACCGACUUCUUUCGCCUAUAUAUGUCCAUAUACCCUGAAAACAUCGGGGAGCAGAAUAGAUCGGGAGUUCCGCCGCCAGAAGCCCCCGUAGCCACCGAAAACCAAUCUAGACCCGUUCCGGCACCCUACCGGAGGGGGAAUCCCUCUCCGGUGGCCAUCUUCAUCAUCCUGGCGCUCUCCAUGACGAGGAGGGAGUAGUUCACCCUCGGGGCUGAGGGUAUGUACCAGUAGCUAUGUGUUUAAUCUCUCUCUCUCUCUCUCUCUCUCUCUGUCUCGUGAGGUGCCACGAUCUUGAUUUAUCACGAGCUUUGCUAUUAUAGUUGGAUCUUAUGAUGUUUAUUCCCCCCUCUACUCUCUUGUGAUGAAUUGAGUUUUCCCUUUGAAGUUAUCUUAUCGGAUAGAGUCUUUAAGGAUUUGAAAACACUUGAUGUAUGUCUUGCACGUGCUUAUCUAUGGUGACAAUGGGAUAUCAUGUGAUCCACUUGAUGUAUGUUUUGGUGAUCAACUUGCGGGUUUCGUGACCUCGUGAACUUAUGCAUAGGGGUUGGCACACAUUUUCGUCUUGACUCUUCGGUAGAAACUUUGGGGCACUCUUUGAGGUUCUUUGUGUUGGUUGAAUAGAUGAAUCUGAGAUUGUGUGAUGCAUAUCGUAUAAUCAUACCCACGGAUACUUGAGGUGACAUUGGAGUAUCUAGGUGACAUUAGGGUUUUGGUUGAUUUGUGACUUAAGGUGUUAUUCUAGUACGAACUCUAUGAUAUAUUGAAUGGAAAGAAUAGCUUCAUGUUAUUUUACUACAGACUCUUGAAUAGAUCGAUCAAAAAGGAUAACUUUGAGGUGGUUUCGUACCCUACCAUAAUCUCUUCGUUUGUUCUCCGCUAUUAGUGACUUUGGAGUGACUCUUUUUUGCAUGUUGAGGGAUUGUUAUAUGAUCCAAUUAUGUUAUUAUUGUUGAGAGAACUUGCACUAGUGAAAGUAUGAACCCUAGGCCUUGUUUCCCAGCAUUGCAAUACCGUUUACGCUUACUUUUAUCAUUAGUUACCUUGCUGUUUUUCUUUUUUCAGAUUACAAAAAUCAUUAUCUACUAUCCAUAUUGCACUUGUAUCACCAUCUCUUCGCCGAACUAGUGCACCUAUACAAUUUACCAUUGUAUUGGGUGUGUUGGGGACACAAGAGACUCUUUGUUAUUUGGUUGCAGGGUUGCUUGAGAGAGACCAUCUUCAUCCUAUGCCUCCCACGGAUUGAUAAACCUUAGGUCAUCCACUUGAGGGAAAUUUGCUACUGUCCUACAAACCACUGCACUUGGAGGCCCAACAAUUUCUACAAGAAGAAGGUUGUGUAGUAGAUAUCAAGCUCUUUUCUGGCGCCGUUGAAGGGGAGGUUAGUGCUUGAAGGUAUAUCUUUAGAUCUUGCAAUCGAAUCUUUUUGUUUCUUGUUUUAUCACCAGUUUAGUUUAUAAAAGAAAACUACAAAAAAUGGAAUUGAGUUUGCCUCAUACGCUUCAUCUUUUUAAUAUCUUUCGCGAGAAUGAUGGAAAGGAAAAUUGUGCUCAAAUGAUAGAAGAAGAAGUCUCUAAAAUGUUUGGCACUAAAUCUUUGAAUGAUGAGCAUGAUUGCAAUGUUAUUAGUAUGAACUCUUUGAAUAUCCAUAGUACCAAUGAUGAUUGCACUAGUUAUGAUGAAAAUAUCUCUUAUAAGCAUGUCGAUUUUUGUGGAGUGAAUAGAGUUUGCAAGUACAUACCAAACAGUGAAGAUAGAUUUUGCAAGCGGCAUAAGUAUUUGGAAACUAAAUGGUUGCAAGAGAGGCUAGAUGUUAGUGCUAAAAAUUUAAAAUAUCUUAGCCAUACUUGUGAACUUCGCAAUGAACAUGGUCAUUUAAAUAUCAAAUGCAAAUUGUUUCAUGAUCGAAUCGUGUCCAAAAAUUGUGAUGACUUGAUUUCCCUUGCACAUCAUAAUGAACUUAGUUUGCUUUUGGGUUAUGAAGAAAUGAAACGUCAAACUAACCAUAUUCUAGAAUAUAACCUUGAGAAAUUCCUCGAUAUUGAUCUAGAAGAAAUCUAUAUGUAUUGUGUGGUGAAUUGCAUUGAAAAUCCUUAUAUUGCCAAUUACAUAAAGAAAAGAAAACAAAUAGAGGAUGAAGGGAAUACUAAUGAAAGGGAAGAGGCUUCCCAAUAUCCUCCUAUUAUUUCUUAUGAUGAAUCAGGUAACGAGGAUGCCCUUCUAUUCAACCAAUCUCAUCAAUAAGGAGCUCCAAAAAGAGGAUUGAACCCACACAUAAUGUGAAGAAGAAAAAGAAAAGACGGAGAAGUAAAGGUAAAGAGGUAUCCCUCCCAAAUGAUGUUGCCCCUAUUACUCAUUGUGAUAAUGAUAAUUGCUAUACUAUUGGUGCUAUCCAUACUAUUAAUGAUGAGAGUGAUUAUGCUUAUGAUAUGAAAAGGCCCAAGCUUGGGGAUGCUAUGUUUGAUGAGAAUGACAUGUUUGAGAAUAUAUUUGUUGCAAUUAAUGUCUGUCCCAAGAUUGGGGAGGCUAUGUUUAAUGAAGAUGUUAUUUUUGGCCUCCCAAGUUUUGAUGAGAAAAUUUAUUAUGAUGAUAGCAUGCCUCCUAUUUAUGAUGAUUAUUGCAAUGACACUUAUGCUAUAAAGAGUAGUGAUGAUUAUCUAUAAAACUUGUCAUGAUUAUGAUUACCCUUUUUCUGAAUACUACUCUUUUAAUGUGGAAACAAUUUGUAGUAUUCGAGUUUCUUAUGAUACUCCCACUAUUCCGAAUGAGAAGAAUUUUGCUUAUGUGGGGAGUAGUAAAUUUUCUAUGCUUGUAGAUCAUGAAAGAAAUGCUUUAUGUGAUGGUUAUAUUGUUGAAUUAAUUCAUGAUGCUACUGAAAAUUAUUAUGAGGGAGGAACAUAUGCUUGUAGGAAUUGCAAUAAUAUCAAGUUUCCUCUCUAUGUGCUUAAAGUUUUGAAGUUAUGCUUGUUUUGCCCUCCUAUGCUAGUUGAUUAUUGUUCCCAUAUGUUGUUUUCUCACAAAAUCCCUAUGCAUAGGAAGAGGAUUAGACUUAAAUGUGCAAGUCAUAUUCUUCAUGAUGCUCCUGUUAUGUUUCAAUUCUUACCUUUGUGAGCAUCAUUGAAAUCAUCAUGCCUAGCUAGGGGCGUUAGACGUUAGCGCUUGUUGGGAGGCAACCCAAUUUUAUUUUUGCUCCUGUUUAGUAAUAAAUAAUCCAUCUAGACUCUGUUUAGAUGUGGUUUUAUGCUUUUAAUUAGUGUUUGUGCCAAGUAAAGCCUUUAGGACCUUCUUGGAUGAUUGUUAUUUGAUCUUGCUGUAAAAAACAGAAAGUAUGCACUCACGAGAAUAAUUUCCAUUUCUUACCAAAGAGCGAUAAAAUACCAAUUACACUUGAAGUAGAUUAAUAAAAGAAUUUCCUAGGACUUCCUAAUUUCUCAGGAUUUUGGAGUUACAAAAUCCUACAGAUUACUACAGACUGUUCUGUUUUUGACAGAUUCUGUUUUCUAUGUGUUGUUUGCUUAUUUUGAUGAAUCUAUGAGUAGUAUCGGAGGGUAUGAACCAUAGAUGAGUUGGAAUACAGUAGAUAUUACACCAAUAUGAAUUUAUAAUGAGUUCACAAUAGUACCUAAGUGGUGAUUUAUUUUCUUAUACUAACGGAGCUUACGAGUUUUCUGUUAUGUUUUGUGUUGUGAAGUUUUCAAGUUUUGGGUAAAGAUUUGAUGGACUAUGGAAUAAGGAGUGGCAAGAGCCUAAGAUUGGGGAUGCCCAAGGCACCCCAAGGUAAUAUUCAAGGACAACCAAAAGCCUAACCUAGAGCCUAGUGCCAAUUUCUGUUUUUCCUUGUUUUAGAGUAUCGCAGAAAAGGAAAAUCAAACGGAGUCCAAUUGACCUGAAACUUCACGGAACUUAUUUUUGGAACGGGAGCAAUCCAGGAGACUUGGAGUAGACGUCAGGGAAGCUUCAAGGGAGGCACGAGGCAGGGAGGCGUGCCCUACCCCCCUGGGCGCUCCCACCACCCUGGUGGGCCCCUCGUGGAUCCCCUGACCGACUUCUUUCGCCUAUAUAUGUCCAUAUACCCUAAAAACAUCGUGGAGCAGAAUAGAUCGGGAGUUCCGCCUCCAGAAGCUCCGUAGCCACCGAAAACCAAUCUAGACCCGUUCCGGCACCCUACCAGAGGGGGAAUCCCUUUUCGGUGGCCAUCUUCAUCAUCCCGGCGCUCUCCAUGACGAGGAGGGAGUAGUUCACCCUCGGGGCUGAGGGUAUGUACCAGUAGCUAUGUGUUUGAUCUCUCUCUCUCUCUCUCUCUCUCUCUCGUGUUCUUGAGGUGGCACGAUCUUGAUGUAUCACGAGCUUUGCUAUUAUAGUUGGAUCUUAUGAUGUUUGCCGUCAGAAAGCAGACGGCAAAGUCAGAUGGCAAAGAUUAAUCGGCAAAGAAUACUUUGCCGUCAGCUUUUUAUCUGACAGACGGCAAAUUCUUUGCCGUCAGCCGAAACUUCUUUGCCGUCUGCCUUAUAAAUCACAAACGGCAAAGAAAAGUGGUUUUGCCGUCAGCUAGACUACAUCUUUGCCAUGAGCUAUUUGUGUCUUUGCCUUCAACCUCGUAUAUCACAGACCGCAAAGAAUGGGUAAAAUUAAAAAAAUACAGCAGCGUUGCUCCCAAGGGAUGCUGUCAACGCAUGCAAGUGCACCUUAUCUAAUCUUUCUUCAUCUUUUUAAGAGGGAAAGGCCUGUCCGUCAGUCCGUCUCUAGUGCCUUUCAUUCAACAUUAGAGGAGUACAAAAUGUAAACCGGACCGCGAGAGAACUAAAGUUAUAGAAUAGUCCUUAAAAUUUACAAAAAGGACGCUAAAACAUAAAAUGGAAAAGCAAUCAGGUCCUUCUUCUUCGCUGCAGAGGUCUGCUCGCCCAACCGUCCAGCCGGAUGCCCACCGUGCCACUCUAUCGUGCUCAGCUUGCCGCGCCGCCGCCCUGUCCUGCUCGUCGCGCCGCCGUCUGGACCCGCUC